rnacentral:rRNA from 1 species
UACGGGGGGGGCAAGCGUUGUUCGGAAUUACUGGGCGUAAAGGGUUUGUAGGUGGCUUGCUAAGUCAGACGUGAAAUCCCUCAGCUUAACUGGGGAACUGCGUCUGAGACUGGUGAGCUUGAGUGCAGGAGAGGAACGCGGAAUUCCAGGUGUAGCGGUGAAAUGCGUAGAUAUCUGGAGGAACACCGGUGGCGAAGGCGGCGUUCUGGACUGCAACUGACACUGAGGAACGAAAGCCAGGGGAGCAAACGGG